GUCAGGUUGGCUGAGUUGGUUAAGGCGUCGGACUUAAGUUCCGAUACUCUCUGAGUGCGUGGGUUCGAAUCCCACACCUGACG